UGCUACGCUGGUUACAGCGGUGAGGACUGUGGACAGGAAGAGCCUCCUGCCAGUGCCUGCCCCGGGGGCUGUGGGCCGCGGGAACUGUGCCGCGCUGGACAAUGUGUUUGUGUUGAGGGCUUUCGAGGCCCAGACUGUGCCAUCCAGACGUGUCCGGGUGACUGCCGGGGCAGGGGAGAGUGUGUCCAGGGCACAUGCGUCUGCCAAGAUGGCUAUGCUGGGGACGACUGCGGAGAAGAGAUACCGGCCAUCCAGAACAUGAGGAUGCAUCUCCUAGAGGAGACAACAGUCCGGACGGAGU
rnacentral:lncRNA from 1 species